rnacentral:rRNA from 1 species
UACGUAGGGUGCAAGCGUUAAUCGGAAUUACUGGGCGUAAAGCGUGCGCAGGCGGGUCUAUAAGUCAGAUGUGAAAUCCCCGGGCUCAACCUGGGAACUGCAUUUGUGACUGUAGAGCUGGAGUACGGCAGAGGGGGAUGGAAUUCCGCGUGUAGCAGUGAAAUGCGUAGAUAUGCGGAGGAACACCGAUGGCGAAGGCAAUCCCCUGGGCCUGUACUGACGCUGAGGAGCGAAAGCUGGGGGAGCAAACAGG